AUUCGUAAUCCGCAAUUGAUUGCUCAUUUGAAACUAACGUCAAUGCAUAAUGUACUCAGAACUCUGAUGGAAUUUUGACUCUGAUUCGGUGACUGUAUUAACGGGAAUGUGGAAUAAGACCAAGUUAUUUAAAGCGAAACUGAAAUGUCUUUACUGUGUGAAAAAAUAUCGCUCGAAGUUCGCUUACCGUCUUCAUCUACAUACACACGAGAGCUGCAAAAACUCAUGGUUUCACUGCCAGACAUGCAACAGAAAGUUCUCAAAAAUCGUCCGCCUUCUGAAGCAUCGGAUUAUACAUCCACCUCCAAAGAAAAAAUUGACAGCGAACGACAAAAAGACGAUUGUUGAUUCUGCUCAAAAGCAUAUUCAAGCGAACUGUAGAGAUGUUAAAACCCCGCCAGGCAACAGAAAAGAUGAACCAAGGAUUCCGUUAGCAUCUGAUGCCGAAACACCAAAAGUUGCAUCCCUUCCGCCGUCGCAUCAUGAUACUGCUGUGAAAUAUUGUCGUGAUCCCCCGCAAGAAACUGAACCGAAUGUGUUUUCAAGGUUUUGUCUAGAUUCACUUGCAGGAGAUUGUAGAGAUGCAAGGCAAUAUCCUUUUGGAAGUCGAAUCUACGGAAAUGAGACUGCCAACAACAAGUCCUGCCUUGACAAGGAAAGCUUCAGGCGAGCUGGGUCUGCUGCCCGUUCUUCUGGGCAAGAAUCUUCUGAUUUACAAGUGUCUGUUGUCUCCUCAAGUAGUCUGAACGCUGAGUCUUCGGAGAAUCUUCCGCCUACCCUACCUAAAACAGGAAAUGAUCCGCCGCUCUGGAGUAAUGGUAAUGAGCCAACCAUGCAUUCUAAAUUACAAGUUAACACUGCUGAAAACCAAAUACAGUGCACCAUAUGUGCAAAGAUCCUUGCAAACCCUCGUAACUUGAGAGCACAUAUGAACACACACAAUGAUGGCGUAAGGUAUUCGUGUCCAACGUGUGGCAAAAGUUAUGCAUGGAAGUAUUCUUUGACGCUACAUAUGCGAAGCAGUCACUGUUCAGCUUCAAGUAGCGCGCCAAAGGAACCUGGCGGGAAGAGAGAAGCAUCAGUGAUUACCGAAACAGUUGAUGCUGGAGAAUUAAAUAGGGGAGAGUCUUUUAAGAAAAGGGCUAGAGAUGGAGAAGGCCUCCAAGUGGCUAGGUCCAAAAAGUCAACACAAAAAAGAUUGCAAUCUGAAACAGCGGUUUCUAUAAGAGAUAAGUCUAGUGAGAGUAGAAGUUCAAGAUCAAAAACUGAAACAAAAGCAAGUUCAACGACAGCAGAUGAAAACUCGGAUGGUUUUAUGUACCCUUGUAUCGAUUGCAGUCAACCCUUCAAAACUGAAGACCAGAUGUGGAAUCACUUUGAAGCAACCCACUGCACAAUGGAUCAAGUGGAAAUAGCUUCACAAUUAGUUAAACCCUUUUCUAGUGGCUUUGUCGACUGCACAAGCAAUUCCAGACAGUGCAAGAUUUGCGGUAAAGUGUUUUCAACGUCGGCAGUGGCUAUGAAUCAUGAAGCUUCCCACACAGGAGAGAAAAAUUUCUCAUGUGAUAUAUGUCAACGGAAAUUUGUUUGGAAUGGCUCUCUGCGUAAACACUUGCAACGUACGUCCUGUGGAAAAGGAAAAAAGGAAAUUCAGAUUGGGAAGGCUGCUGGUGUUUCGCCUGUAGCAGAUAGAAUCAAAGAAGACAUCAAGGCACACGAGAAUUUGUCAUUUGUUUCAAGCACAAAGAGCAAGCAAAGGGGCGUUGUGGAAAGUCAGUUACCAGCUCCAUUGGAACGUGAUACUAAAAUAAUGAAAGAUCAUAAGAAGGCAGUAAAGAGCCCUAGGGUGGUACCAAUUAAUAAGCAUGCUGUACUGGCAGAGAAUUUCAUAAGAAAGACAAUUCUUCUUCAUGAAGGAUAUGGUGUCAAAAAGGAAAUGGCAGGCUUUGUAGACUUAGGCGAUGGACCAGAGAUCGGCAAUCAUACAUGCAAGGUAUGUGAUAAUACAUACAAAUACAAGUCAUCUUUGAAAAUUCAUAUGCGAAAUCACACGGGAGAACUUCCAUAUCAAUGUGGAAUUUGUAAGGAAAGAUUUGCAGCUCAUAGGUAUUGUAGAAAGCAUGUCAUAAGACAUGGAAAAGAGUCAGCAGACCAGGAGCUGAGGGCAGCAUUUCAAAACCUGGCUCAUUCUGGAAAAGGAGAUAGUUCCAGGGAUGACAAGACAGAGCAAAAUGACAUUGCUAGAAGGCAUGAUCAAGGACCAUCCCCACGAAAGUCAGGCAAUAAACAAGUGACAUCUGUUGACGAGAGCGGUGAGUCACCUACUGAUGAAAGAGGCACAGUCAGGGAACGAGGUUUGCCAAAAAGAGAGGCAAAAAGUAAGGCCUUAAGCUACGUUGCUUUGAUAGAAACAUCGGAUGAUGAACUUUCUGUAAACAGGAAGCGUAGGACAAGGAAGAAAAUUGUCAGAGACAGUUUACAGUUAAAGAAGAUAAGUGGUUCUGAGGUGAGCUCAGAAGAAGAAGAAAUAAGUCCUAAACGAAGACUGGUGGAUAGACGAACCUCCAGCAGUCAUUCGAGUUUCCUAUCUAACAAAGAAGACAGCGAUGAAGAAUGGCCUGGUGGCAGUCUUAUGGACGACGAAGAAGCCGAGUUUUUGAGCGAUGAUGUAUCAGAGGAAUCACUCAUUGAAACAAAAGAUAAAAGCCCAUCAACAAAGAUAAAGACAGAAGGACAUUUAGGUAGAGAGAAACCCCGCAAGAAUGACGGAAAACUCUCAAGAUUACUUUUUCAAUGUAAAGUGUGUGAUACGAAGUUUGCUUCACGUUUUGUGCUGCGGAGACAUGAAGUGAUUACAGGCCAUGCAAAGGCAUCAUAUGAGUGCCCGUACUGCAAGCGAAUCUAUUCGGAAGGAGGAGCUUAUAGCAACCACAUGUACGUGCACCAGCGGAAAAACGGCAUGAAAUGUGAUAUUUGUGGUAAGGAACUCCAGAGCAGAACGACGUUUCUGAAUCAUAAAGAAAUGCAUAAGAAAAAUCCAUUUACAUGCAAACUUUGUUUUGAGUGGUUUCCAAGUGAAAGGAAGCUGGAAGAGCAUACUAAUACAUCGCAUGAUACACAGAAAGAAUUCAAGUGCAAGUAUUGCCACAAAACAUUUGAUUGGCAGUCAAACUACACCCGGCACUUGAACAAGCACACAAACAAAAAGGAGUUCAAGUGCAAAAUUUGUCAUUACAGCUUCAAUAUUAUAUCGAAUCUGAAAAGGCACAUGGUCUCAGUACACAAAGGCGAAACUGAAUUUGGUGCGAACACGUGGGAAGCAGUGAAUCCGGUACAAGUGGACCAUGUUCUCAACAGACAGCAUCAGAGAAGAGAUCUGUGGAAGGUGGAAGAUGACACAGAGAACGAAGAAAAAGGAAUAAAGAGGCGGGGGAGACUGAAGGCGCUCAAGGCUGUCAACAGAAAGAAGUAUCCCUGUGAAAUUUGCAGUUUUUUGUGCUCAUCCAGAAUGGAAUUGACAAACCACUUGAGGUAUGGCCACAAGGAGCAGAACAACCCAGAUUCUGCGUUGAUUCAUUUUAUUAUUGAAGAGGAAAAUUUUUUUUGCCAAUUAUGUGGAUCAGUUAUCUAUAUUAGGCAUAGUCUGAAAAACCACAUGCUCAGGGUCCAUCAGCUUGACAUAAGCGAAGAUGACAUCGCAGGGGUCAGUAAGUUUGGCAAUGAUGUGAAGGUUGAAGGGCGUGUUAAACAGAAGCCAAAGCAGAAGCCCAAACCAUCUCCAGCAGAAAAUGACUCCCGUAAUUCUGGGGCAGUUGACCAACGGCACGGUGCAGAUGUUGUUUCCUCAUCAAAUGGAGAAAAAGAUGUGGGGUACCUGCGCCAAAGAAAGAAACGGGGAUUGUCAGCUGAAAGUCGAAAGUGUUCAUUGCCAGAUAAAUGCAGUCUUUGUGCUAACGCGUUUGCUUGUAAGGAACAGCUGAUUGAACACUUACGGGAUUUCCAUAAGAUACCAGCUGGCUUUGAAGAGGCAUUGAUUGAAAUGACCAAAGAUGUAAACAACCCUACGCAUAAAGCUGGCCAAAGUCAAAGCAACAGUGAUGAUCGUGAAAAAGCUGCGUGCUUGCAAAAGAAAGAGAACAAUUCCACACUGUCAUCUGAAAGACGUAAGAAGGAAAGCAGCCAAGUACAAGAAUGUCCAAUCUGCAAUCAGCGCUUCGAGAGCGUGGCUCUGCUUGCAAGACAUGCGGCUAUUUGUGACCAAUUUUCAUCAUAGCACUCUAAAUACUGCUGCAUCUUUACCAACCAUUAACUUGGCAAACCCUUUGACUAGAGAUUUUAGGAUACUUUCGUUGCAUGUAGGCAGAUAGUUUGUCUGACAGUCUGUUAUUGUUUUUAAAAGAUUUCUCAAGCAAACAGCUCUUUUGACAGGCGUGUAUUUUACUAAUAUUUUGGAUCUUCCACCAUUGACAGCUCGUAGCUUUGGCAUAGGAUUGGUUUGCUUUAAAGCAUUUUGACAUGCAUCCCUAAACUGAGCCAAGUUUUAAUGUAUGCAAACUCUUUUUUGAAUUAUCAAAAAAUUCGUAGUUUGAUUUGUUGUAAGGUUUUUCGUCGUUGUUCACGCGAUGCUGGAGACAGCUGCAUUACCAUAUAAUGUUUUAACUAGUAAAUAAUCAUUGGUUUUCCUAAUGAUGAUGAUAAGGUUUUUCUUUAUGUCAGAUCAGUGUCCAAAGCAAUGAAAGAAAUUUUUCACUACAAGGGAUAAGUCCCAUAUUUUUUCUGAGAUUUAACAUUUGUAUCAUUGAUAUUUUUAUCGCUGAAACUUUUAUACAUCUACUUUGUCUUGACGUUUGAUAUAUAUAUUUUGUAUAUGCUGCCUUUGAAAGCUAUUUUUGUACCUUUAGAUAUCUUUAGCUUUGUAAAUUCGCAUCGCAUAUCACGUAUCGUCUAGGUUUUAUAGUUAUUUUAAAACGGUUGUAAGAGAUUUAGAUUGCGCAUGUCUUUCCUAUUCAGUUUUGUUCAUAAUUUGAAUUAAAAUAUCUGGAUUUUCAGCUCCAACGUCUACACACCACCUGGUUCAGUAGUGCAACGCGUUGUUAGCAUGCCAUGCAAAACAAGACAUCCCUUUUGUCGGUAGAAUUAGGUAGGCUUUGUGAACAAAUGUGAAUUUGAGGCGAUUAACGACUGGAGUCUUUCUUGCUUCUGUUUAAUCUAAUGUUCAUCUUUGUGGUUUAUUUAGCUUUUCAUGCUAUGAAAAUAAAGUUAAGGUGCAAAGUAUCGAACUUUCCAUGAAUCGUUACAUUUCGGUUCCAUACACAUCAUGUAUGGAACCGGAACAUAUGGCCAUGUAUUAAAGAUAUGCACAAAAACGACAUCCUCAUUUUCAAUAGACCUAUAGAACCCCUCCAUCCUCUUGUGAUGUUUCAUAACUCAUACAAUAAUACAAUACAGGCUUGGUUUUGUUCAGUCCAUUUUUUACAGGUGUGGUCUUAAUCCAUUUUGUAUUUUUUUGUCGAAUAACUCAAACUUUUUCAGUCAGAAAUUUAAGUCAGACUUAUUUGGCAAUCUCUUAUGCAAUUAGGAUCAUAUAAGCCCAAAUUUUGCAACAAAAUAAAGCCAUUGUUACAUGUUUUUAUCUCGAUGUUCCUCUUUAGAAACAAAUAUGUCACUAAACUGUAUAGGGUGUGAUAUGAUUAGCCUUGUUUGUCUGAUGAUUUAUUCAAUCUAUUGGAUAAAAUGUUUUUUGCUUUUUUGCUACGAAAAACGGUUCCAAAUUUUUUGUUUAACGCUGUGGUGCUUCUUUCCAGGUUUUUCGUACGCGCUGGGCACCCGCUCGAGGUUGACUGCGUUUUGUACUGAUCAUGUGAGAAAUGCGCAUUGUCAACUACCGUGGCAUUUGCUGCAUCAGUACCUUUCUUGUAGUGAUGCGAUUAUUUAUACACACUUCACAUCCAUUGUUUUCAUUCGCAUUCAGUGUUUUUUAGAGCUCGAUGCCUAUUUCGUGAAGAUAGCUUCUCUAAAAAGGUUUUAUUGUGAGUAAGUGAUGGCAUGACCUCGCGGGGAAAAACCUGUAUGUUGGGGCGACAUAUAAACACAAACAAAAGUUUGUUCUGGUUAUUUUGUUGCUUCUAUUGUCCUCCCGGUUCAUAGAAAUUUCAUUGUUUUUAUUUCGAAAUGGACAUCGUCAAGAGAAUGCUUGUGGAACCCAUGGAAAGUUCUUUGUUUGUCACAGUCUUGAAAGUAGAGUCACCCCGCGGGUUAGGCGUGUAAAAUACUCCUUUAUGCUAGCUCAUGUAGCGAAACCCUAUUUUUUUCUGUCAUAUCUAAAAAUUACGGUUUCGCAACUUUUCCGAAGUCAGCCUCCUCUCUCAAUUUUCCGACGAGAUUUGUGUCAUCAACCUGCAGCUAAUUGGAUUGAUGCAAAUGAAUUGUAACAUUUAGAUAGUGCUACAGACCGCGAGGCAUACCACAGCAACCGCAAGAAACGCCACGUCUCAUAUUUUGAUUGAUAAAUCGUGUUUAUUAAUUGUUCAUUGAAUAGUUAUAAGAAAAUUUGACAGAAAAUUGAGUGACGCCGAGGAGUGUUUUAGGUUGCCAAAUCUCCUACAUCGACCAUAUAUAUAUACAAGCGAAAAUCGCGCAUAGAAGUGACAAUACACAAUGUUACAAACAUUAACCGAACAAUGGUGGUUCAAUAUAGGGUAACUUCACCUUCAUGGCCCAGUUGGGUGAUCCUGAUGCAAUUGAGAAUCAUGCCACAUAGAGUCUUGUAUUUGUGUUAAUUGAAUUUACUUUCUGAAAUGUUUGCGUUUGCAACUGUUUCAAAAAUUACGCCUUGCGGUGAAUUCAUACUCCAUAUGAAGGCUUGAAUCGUUUUCGGGUUUGAACAGAGUUCCGCCACACAGUUAGCUUCGACCGAUUCAAUAUCAUAGUUGCCAAGUAAGCUCUCAUCCUUCCUUUAUCUAUUCGGAUUUAAAUGGUAAUGAUGGUAGUGAAAAAAUGGCCUGACCUAGACGCCCAGCCCCCCCCCCCUUCUCUGCGGUGCCUGUAGACGUGUUGCCGAAACUUAUUUUGUUACUUCAGACCUUUUUGCCCCCUUUAACCGGGGAUUUAGAACUUUUAUUUGGCCUUUUGAAUUUCUGUUUAUUAUACCUUGUUGUCUUAGUAUGAUUUCAAAAAAGGGUUAAACUUAAGGAGCUUCGUGUCAGGUUGCCCUUGUAAUCGAAAGAGCAGUGUAUCGCCAAGAGAAUUAGGAAUACUACGGAUGCAGAUUCUUCAUUUCAGUCUGUUAAUAAACAUCGUAUCAAAUUUAAAUAUUAAUGUUGAUACAUUCGUAAAUAAAAAUGUUAGACAACGCAGACUAAAACAAAGAGCCUUUCAAAACAAAUCUCAACAUUUUGAUGGCAAAGCCAAAACUUAGCCAACUGUGGGACAUUAUGAAUGAAGAUCAGCCUCGGCCGAUGUAUUUCAUCCUGUGAAUCUGAAUGAGAACUGUAUGUUUGCUUUGUUGAAAUCGUAGCAGUGUUUUGCAUUUGCUUGCGAUGAAUUACGUAAUUAGUAUUGUUUGCAGUUGAAUCAUAUGAAACGAAGGUGAACCGCGAAGUCACUUCAAUCGACCUUGGUUUCGGAUGCAGGAAAUACGAACUCUCUUGGUUGAAUUUCUGCGAAUGUUGGCAACGGCUUUGUGCUCACCGUCGUCGUGAAAACCACGUUGGUACUAUAAUUAGCCAUACAUCGAAGCUGAGUAUCAGUUAGCUGGCUCCUUUAGUUUACUACCUAAUUCAUCCUGAUAUCUACUCGUGAAGCAAGUUUUGUUCCUGGGAUAUGAAUUCAUGAUGUUGUCGUUCUGCAAAAUGAAUCUUGCCAUUCUCGUGACUGUUUUUCUUCUGUCCGAACAUCUGAAAGAAGCUGAUACACAAAAGGUGUCUGAUGGGAAUGAACAAAUAGAUAAAAGCUUGAAAGAUAUCUACAAAGUCAGUAUCGAAAGGGGAAUUAUCAUCCGAAGAAGACGAUUCAUCGAUAGUGACAGAAUUAAAAUCAAUUUUAUCAACAAAUCAGGCA